UUUAGAUUGUAUCUUCACCCCCAAGUGCGGCUAGAAUCUUUUACACAUUUGGAUGAAACGAGGAAUUCAUCCAUACCAUUAGUAAAGUUUGGAAGACUGCGAUUGAUCCUGAAAGGGAAUGAAUGGAAAAAAUAGCUAGUUGUAUCAACGGAGAGUUCCGAGUUUAUUUCAUUUUUAUCGGAUCGGUACAAAACCCUGUUCGAAUUCUUGACAGAAUAGAACAGAAAAAGUUGGGUCGAAUGAAUAAAUGGAUAGGGCCCUAUGGCUUCGAUUAAUUGUGGGAAAGAUAAAGCAACCAACUUCUGUUCCUAAAAUUGAAUAAUUUCUUGAUCUAAAUAGAUGUUAAAAGUAAAUUAGUGCCUGAUACGACAAGAACUUCUCUCCUAUGAGUGAAUUCUAUAUUUUUUUAAUGAAUCCUAACUAUUGGCAUUCUCCAUUUUAGAAUGCUCAAAUACAAUA
rnacentral:lncRNA from 1 species